rnacentral:rRNA from 1 species
CCUACGGGUGGCAGCAGUGAGGAAUAUUGGUCAAUGGGCGCGAGCCUGAACCAGCCAAGUCGCGUGAGGGAGGACGGCCCUACGGGUUGUCAACCUCUUUUGCCGGGGAGCAACGGGCGUCACGUGUGGCGCCACUGCGAGUACCCGGAGAACAAGCAUCGGCUAACUCCGUGCCAGCCGCCGCGGUAAUCCGGAGGAUGCGAGCGUUAUCCGGAUUUAUUGGGUUUAAAUGGUGCGUAGGCGGGUCGUUAAGUCAGUGGUCAAAUUGAGGGGAUCAACCCCUUCCCGCCAUUGAAACUGGCGCUCUUGAGUGGAAGAGAAGUAUGCGGAAUGCGUGGGGUAGCGGUGAAAUGCAUAGAUAUAACGCAGAACCCCGAGGGCGAAGGCAGCAUGCCGGCUUCCGACUGACGCUGAAGCACGAAAGCGUGGGGAUCGAACAGGAUUAGAUACCCGAGUAGUC